GAUGAACGCUGGCGGCGUGCCUAAUACAUGCAAGUCGAACGAACAGACAAUAAGUGUUUGCCCUUGACGAUGGCGAGGGGCGGACGGGUAAGAAAUACAUAAGUAACCUAUCUGACUGGGGGGACUACGGGAAGCAGGCGCCAAUAACGGCUAAUAUGUUCAACGGCUUAGUUCAAUAGUGAAUGACAGGUUGCCCGACACAUAUAGAUGGAUCCGCGCCGCAUUAGCGAGUUGGUAAGGUAACGGCUUACCAAGGCAACGAUGCGUAGCCGACCUGAGAGGGUGAUCGGCCACACUGGGACUGAGACACGGUCCAGACUCCUACGGGAGGCAGCAGUAGGGAAUCUUCCGCAAUGGGCGCAAGCCUGACGGAGCAACGCCGCGUGAGUGAAGAAGGUCUUCGGAUCGUAAAGCUCUGUUAUUAGGGAAGAACAAAUGUGAGAGUAACUGUGCACGGUUUGACGGUACCUAAUCAGAAAGCCACGGCUAACUACGUG
rnacentral:rRNA from 1 species